UACUUAAGGUAGCGACGGAUAGCAACCACGUGAUCAGUAAAAAUUGUGUAUUUUCACGUGAAUUCAUUUUCCGGAAUUCCUUACUCCGUCAUAGAAUAGUCGAAAAACAAAAAGGGGUUCCGAAAGUGUUUUGUUGCUGUGACUGACUCGCCUACAGAAAAUAUGCACAUACCACAUAAGUAUACGUCAAUGGCUGUAAUAAUGGUAGAUCAAAUGUUUCAUCUGUGUGAAACUUUUUGCUAAUCGAAAUGUUAAACCAACCACCAAUCCAUGUACAUAUAUGCGCUACGUAAACAAAGUUGUUGAUUGAUGCAUCGUAAUGUCCGAGUGCUGCAUGCUGAGAGAUUAAAUACUGUUUAUACAGUCAUUGAGAGGCUAAACAAAGUUUCUUGCAAGAAGAGGAAGUUGGUGGAUGCAUUCAACUUGGACAACGAAAUCAUAGUUUCGUUUGGCAUCAGCCUGAGGACCAAUGGAGGUUAGAUAGGACCAGUGCAGGUUGAAGUGGACUUCGAGUCAACAAGUAUAACAGCAAGAGAGGUACUCCAUUUACAGUGAUGAUGACAUAUCCCCUGGACCCCCACAACUCCACAAAUUUAAAAAUGUUUGAUCAAGUUCCGAAGAUUAAAUAACUACUGCAAAAUUUGGGACUGGAUGAAAAACAUUAAUUCACUUAUAUGAGCUCAGAGCAGUGGAUGUUAUACAACAUACUUUAAACUAAAUUGUGAAUUUAAGGGAAAACAAGUACAUGUACUCGUAUAUUACAAGUACAUGCCUUUUAAAAGACAAUAAUAUUGCAUAGAUGUAAAGGAAAUUUCAAUGUUGAUUAUUCUUUCUUAGAUAUAUUAGUAAAAAAUGUGCACAUGCUAGAAUAUCAAUUUUAUAACUUCAA